AUCCUCGGGCUCGCAGCCAGGCUGGCGCGUCACGUGGCCGCGCGGCGUCCAGGGCGCGGAGCCGCGGGCCGCCGGGCAUGGACCCUCAGACCGCCCGGGCCCUGGCGCUGGGGGCCGCGGAGCCGCCUCGGGGUCUGCCGCUGGCGAGCGCGCGGGAGUCGCCCCCCAGCCCCGAGGCUGGCUUUGCCCCGCAUGACCACUCCGGUCAGGCGAGAGAGACUGAGAAAGCCACGGAUCGACUAGUGCUCAGGUGGCUAAAGAACUCUGCACACUUGUUUUACUGCUGCCUUCUUACCAGUGGAGCACAGAGCAUCCCUAAUGGUGGUCCUGCCGGUGAUGAGGGCACCCAUUCUGAAGAGGAAGGCUUUGCUAUGGAGGAUGAAGAUUCUGAUGGGGAACUGAAUACCUGGGAGCUGCCAGAAGGGGUGUCCAGCCGCCUGCCUAGGGAACAGGCUGCUGAUCUUUUUAGUGAGGACUGGGACUUGGAGUUGAAAUCGGAUCAAGGGAAUCCGUAUGAUGCUGAUGACAUCCAGGGCUGCAUUUCUCAAGAGGUCAAACCUUGGGUGUGCUGUGCCCCGCAAGGAGACAUGAUCUAUGACCCCAGUUGGCAUCAUCCACCUCCACUGAUACCCCAUUAUUCCAAGAUGGUCUUUGAAACUGGACAGUUCGAUGACGCUGAAGACUGAGGGUACAGCUUUUUGCCUGCCAAGUACAUGGGUCUUCAAGAUGAAGGUCUUUCUUCUUUUCUUUGAGAGAUGAAGAAAAUAAGACUCAAAAUGUUGACCUCGUCAUUAUCACACAAGCAGGAACUGGCGGAGCUGGGACCUAACCCCACGGAGGCGCCACAAAGUACGAACAGAGCAGGACCUUAUGAGGAAAGGCAGUGGUUUUGACUGAGGGGACUCACGGCCAAGGCUGUCCCAGGGAGACGAAGCGUUCCUCCCACUGGCCUUGCUGAAGGGACCAUCGCAGACCCUGUCCCCACUCUGCUCUCCUCCCAGUGCCGAGCUGGCGAGACGGGUGUGAAUAGGAGGAUGUCUGGCGUGACAAGGUGACCUUGAGAAACUGAUAGAAUUGCUAAAUGGAAAGGUUGUGUUAUUGAUGGGUUCCUUUGGCCCAUGUGUAAACUGAAACAGUAAAAAAGCAGGAGUCACGCGGUGAGGAGAAGAGGGAGGGAAGAAAAUAGUCUGAAAAUCGCCCGUGCGUAAGUAACGGCAGAGAGUGUGCACAAGCUGCUGCUGCUGGUCCACGGAGCAGAAGUGGGUCUAGAACUCUCUUCCUUUUUAGAAAUGAGUCUUUGUGGUUUCUCUUCCUGGUUAUUUUCAGCAAAGCAAGUGGGAGGGAAGUGGGGUCUACUGGAGCAAGGACCUAGGAAACUAUUCUUUUAAGAGUUAAAAAUAAAAGCAACCCUGACUGGGUGGCUCCGUUGGUUGUAGUGUCGUCCCGUACACCAAAAGGUGGUUCGAUUCUUGGUCAAGGCACAUGCCUAGGUUGUGUGUUCGAUCUGUCAGGGCAUAUGUGAGAGGAAACUGAUCAAUGUUUUCUCUCUCUCUCUGCCUUCACCCAUCUCUAAGAAUAAGUGGAAAUAUAUCCUUGAGUGAAGAUUAAAAAAUAAUAAAAUAAUAAAAACAAGGGCUUUUAUGGCUGAACAUUGAGUAUGUCAGGAGAACAAGAAAAGGUGGGAGAGGGGGGAGGUUAGUCAAUUAUUCUGAUAUCGCUAUUGUUCUAGUGUCCCCAGUAGGAUUAAUCAAGCAUAGAGAAAUAUAUAGAAAAAUAAUUGCCCAGGCUGUGAACAUUGGUUAUCUGAAGGGGGUAAGGUAGGAGUAAGGAGAAAAGGCGGUGAAAUGGGAAAAUAUUAAUGACAUGAUAAAUGAAAAUACAGAUCGUAGAACUCUGAUAAUGUUGCAGAUACGGACAGAUGAAACAAUUUGGUUAAAUGGUGGAGGUGGAGGCAGUUUGCUUUUAUAUUUUUGUUAUUUUAAUACAGAUUUUGCAAGGAGGUAUUUAAAAUAAAGGCAAGAUGUUAGUCAUCCAUA